rnacentral:tmRNA from 1 species
GGGGAUGUACUGGUUUCGACGGGGGUAGGUGCGGUAUGAUAAGCGAGCCGUGGUUCCAUCUGCACGAUAAUCGGUGGGCCGUUUAAAUAUAAACGCUGAACAAGAAUACGCUUUAGCAGCCUAACUGCUAACUGUUCUCUAAGCUUCUCCUGCCGGUGAGGAUGAACAGUCAAUAGACAGGAUACCUUGAAGACCUUCCCUGGAGCUUUAAGGGAAACAAAUUGGGAUAGCAACUCGGACGCCCGUCGAUAGGCAUUCGGGAAGCGAAAUAAAAUAUGUCGUCUGCGCUCGGAGAAAGUUGUAUGGCAAUAUUUUCGGACAGGGGUUCGACUCCCCUCAUCUCCACCA